AUUGAACGCUGGCGGCAGGCCUAACACAUGCAAGUCGAGCGAGCGGCGGACGGGUGAGUAAUGCCUGGGAAUUGCCCAGUCGAGGGGGAUAACAGUUGGAAAAGACUGCUAAUACCGCAUACGAUUGGAUUGCCCAGGUGGGGUUAGCUAGUUGGUGAGGUAAUGGCUCACACAGGCGACGAUCCCUAGAUGUUCUGAGAGGAUGAUAAACCACUCUGCAACUGAUACAAGGUCCAGACUGCUACGGGAGGCAGCAGUGGGGAAUAUGGCACAAUGGGGGAAACCCUGAUGCAGCCAUGCCGCGUGUGUGAAGAAGUCCUUCGGGUUGUAAAGCACUUUCAGCGAGGAGGCGUUACUCGCAGAAGAAGCACCGGCUAACUCCGUGCCAGCAGCCGCGGUAAUUC
rnacentral:rRNA from 1 species